rnacentral:lncRNA from 1 species
UUGUAAAUCUUUGUUAUGCCCUAGUUUCGCAAUGUUAAUUUUAGUAUGCUGAUUUUCAAAGGCAGAGGUCACUACAGAAUUGUGAGGGGUCAUUACUGGGUCACCUGAGUUUCUCAUCAUCUACUUCAUCACCUGUUCAGAAGUCUGGCAUGGUGGCUGGGUUCUCUGCUCAGGGUACUACAAGGCUGACAUCAAAGAGUCAGCUGGACUGAGUUUCUAUCUGGAGGCUCUGGGGGAAAUUUCACUUCUAAGCUCACUGCUAUUGUUGGAAGAAUUUAGUUCCUUACGAUUGCAGGACUGAAGUUCUGUUUACUCACUGGCUGUCAGCUGGGACCCGCUCUGAGCAACUAAAGGCUGCUGUUAGGUCUUUUCCCCGUGGUCACCAUUGUUUGUUUGUUUGUUGAAAUGAACAUAAUGUCAAGAUUUUAUUGUCUUCAUAACAAAAUAUGAAGCUUAGAACUGGAUCACUUUCUCUUAUCUCCUCCCAGUUCAAAAUGCUUGCAUCUCUUAACAGCCAGCAUCCUCUUAGAUCUGCAGUUGAGCUUGACACAUUCAAGCCUCAGCACAAUCUUCUUGUAGUUUUAGCCUUUUCCUGGAAAAUUGGCUUAGUCUGCCCACAAUAGCCACUCUGCUUCCUGCCAUAACGCCACUUUCCCUGGGCAUAAAGAGAAUCUUUGCCUUUCUUUUCUCUCUCUCUUUUUUUUUAAAUAAGGAUUUUAUUUAUUUAUUCAUGAGAGACACGGAGGGGGAGAGAGAGAGAGAGAGAGAGAAGCAGAGAUACAGGCAAAGGGAGAAGCAGGCUCCAUGCAGGGAGCCCGACGUGGGACUCCAGGACCAUCCCUGGGCCGAAGGCAGGCGCCAAACCGCUGAGCCACUCAGGGAUCCUGCCUUUCUUGUACUGUGUCAUUUUGAGGGGUUGGUGCUUACCACACUUCUUGCAGAAAGUCCAGCGGGUUUUAGGAACAUUCACCAACUUUGCGAGAGCGCUAUUGGCACGGAAAGAAGCCCGUGGUCACCAUUGUUACUCCACAACAUGGUAUGUUUGCUUUCUUCCAGGCCAGCCAGAGCACAGUUCUCAAAUUUUGCCUUCUACAACCAGCCAAAGAAAACUCCCUACUUUUUAAAGAGUUCAUAUAGUUAGGUCAGGCCCACCUAGAUAAUCUCCAUAUCUCAAAGUCACUUCUGCCAUAGAAAAACAUAAUUACAAGAGGAAAAGUCAUUAUAUUCACAGUCCCAGGAAUUAUCAGGGCAUUUAUAACAUAUGGGUGGAAAAUUUGGUGCUAUAGUGAGAGUUCUGCCCACCAUACCACUGCACAUGAAAGUUUAUCAGAAUGGGAAAAGGGAGUAUAUUUUGAAGACAAUGCAAUCAAUAAGUCAUCAAAAAUACCUAAGAUUUUUCUUAGUACUUUUCCCCACAGUCCCAAAGAGAAUCAUUCCUUUAAUGGUAUUAAACUUGAACAAUUCACACAUAUAUAAUUAGUUUCAUUCAGCGUGAUUAAUAUGACAAACCCAGUUCUUCCAGCAUGAUUCAAAACUUAACUGGGUCAUACAAUUAGCUUGUGCAGGCUACCCCUGCUGGCCGGUGAGUGCAGGUGAGCUAGAUAACCCAUGAAACAAUAAGACAUUCUUUUGAAGAGCUAACAGUAUCAGGUGGUAGUUAUGUUAUUAUACUAGAGUUUUCCAAGGUGCUGCUACUAGGGGAAACUGGACAAAUGGUACAUGGGAUUGUGAAUAUAUAAGUUUCAUCUCAAACUUAAAAGUUUAAUUAAAAAAAAUCCAGGUUUAAUAUGGUGGCGAAUUAGAUCUAGGUGCCCCAUGUCAGAUAUCUGAACGUAGGUAUUGGUUUUGCUCUUUCCAGAGUAAGAAAGCUUGACCAGAGGUGGGAUAGAUCUGGAAGCUUGAGGAAUGAGAAGGGCGUUUGGAUCUCUCUUAGUGAGGAAUCUGAUGAGAGCUCAAUGAAUGAUGAACAAAAGCUCCAGAUAAGCUCUUUUUUAGCUGAUGUAGCAGUUUCUAGAUUUCAUAGAGUGGAUACGUGUUCCUUCCAUUCAUAUUUUGAAAUUUGUGCAUUGUUCAGAAGAUUAGAAAUCCUAAGUUUUUGCUAAGUUUUCCUUCUGUUACUCAGAAGUACCACAUGUCUUAAGCAACACCUGUGUGUUUUGUAAUGACUUAAUAGAGAAUGAUUAAAAAAAAAAAAAAAAAAAGCCACAAGGAACAAGGUACCUAUUUUCUCCUAGAUACCAUUUCUGUAAUUCCAGUCACCAUUACCAUGUGACAAGGAGGCCCAUCAGUGUUUUCUUGUCUGUAAAUAGGUUACACCCUGGUAAGAUAAGAGAGCUGAAAUGAGACUUUGAUUCAGUCAAUUAUGAUUUUGACUAUAAAAAAUAUUUUAGGGGAUGCAAGGGUGGCUCAGUUGGUGGAAUAUGCAACUUUUAAUCUAGGGGUUGUAAGUUUGAGUCCCAUGGUGAGUGUAGAGAUUACUUAAAAAAAUAUUCUUUUUUUUUUUUUUUAAAGAUUUUAUUCAUUUAUUCAUGAUAGUCACACAGAGAGAGACAGAGAGGCAGAGACACAGGCAGAGGGAGAAGCAGGCUCCAUGCACCGGAAGCCCGACGUGGGAUUCGAUCCCGGGUCUCCAGGAUCGCGUCCCGGGCCAAAGGCAGGCGCCAAACCGCUGCGCCACCCAGGAAUCCCUUAAAAAAAUAUUCUUUAAAGUAUUUAAAAAUAACUACUAAAUUUAGAUUUUAACUUGUUACAUAAUGAAACAUCAAAGUAUUAUAUCCUAUGAUCAGCUUCAUUCUUUAGUUAUUCUAUUUGAUCCCAAGCAAAAAAUUUCCAAGCAACUUUCCAAUGUCAUCCAUCAGCUAUUUUUUCCUUACCUCUUAGUUAUUAAAUCUUCAUGUGUUGCUACUCUAAGCCUGUAGUAAUUGAGGAAAUUGACUAAGUGUCCUCAUUCUGCUAAUCCGUGCUUAUUUUUCACAAAACUACUAAUCCUCAGGGAACAUCUCAAACCAUCACUUCUAUUUCUUGAGUCAGAAAAACAAAAAGUAGGGAAAGUUGUGGAUGACAAGGACUCUUGGAACAUUAGAUAAUCUACCUUUUAACUAGAAAGAGAUGGAUUUGAUAGACUGUUUUAGAAGUUCAAGGUGCCCCUUUGAGGUGCCUGGGUGCUCAGUCAGUUAAGCCCAGUUCAUGAUUCCAGGGUCAUAGGGUGAGCCCUGCAUCAGGCUUCCUGCUUAGUGAGGAGUCUGCUUUUCCCUCUUCCUCUGUUCCUC